rnacentral:rRNA from 1 species
UACGGGGGGGGGCAAGCGUUGUUCGGAAUUACUGGGCGUAAAGGGCGCGUAGGCGGCUCGCUAAGUCGGGUGUGAAAACUCUGGGCUCAACCCAGAGCCUGCAUUCGAAACUGUCGAGCUAGAGUUCUGGAGGGGAAAGCGGAAUUCCUGGUGUAGCGGUGAAAUGCGCAGAUAUCAGGAGGAACACCAAUGGCGAAGGCAGGUCUCUGGGCAUUAACUGACGCUGAGGAGCGAAAGCAUGGGGAGCGAACAGG